rnacentral:misc_RNA from 1 species
UCCGGCUUAUCGCCGGCAGUCCCACUAGAGUGCCAAACUUAAUUAGGGCAACUAGUAGUAAGGGUUGCGCUCGUUGCGUCACUUAAGACAACAUCUCACGACACGAGCUGACGACAGCCAUGCAGCACCUGUGUUUAGGCUCCUUGCGGCACAGUCUCAUCUCUGAGACCUUCCUAACAUGUCAAGAGCAGGUAAGGUUUUUCGCGUUGCAUCGAAUUAAUCCACAUCAUCCACCGCUUGUGCGGGUCCCCGUCAAUUCCUUUGAGUUUUAAUCUUGCGACCGUACUCCCCAGGCGGUCUACUUCUCGCGUUAGCUUCGCUACUAAGAAUAUGCUUCCCAACAGCAAGUAGACAUCGUUUAGGGCGUGGACUAC